UUUAUAGGUAAUAACAUGUAUUUUCUCUUCUUUGCAUUUAGCAGUAAUCAACCUUAGUUAUGCGACUCAAAAUCUGAGGCAGCUUCUGGAUCCUCAGGAAGAAUGAAGAUGGGGGAUGGCGUCUGCAUAUUGAGGGGCCAAAUACCAUGUUUAUGGACUGUUUUGGUUCUUCAUUAAGAUGUAAAUAAAUUUUGAUUUGAAUGAGAAUAUAUUUUAAUAUAUUUCACACAUUUAA